rnacentral:rRNA from 1 species
GACGAACGCUGGCGGCGUGCUUAACACAUGCAAGUCGAACGGAAAGGCCCUGCUUUUGUGGGGUGCUCGAGUGGCGAACGGGUGAGUAACACGUGAGUAACCUGCCCUUGACUUUGGGAUAACUUCAGGAAACUGGGGCUAAUACCGGAUAGGAGCUCCUGCUGCAUGGUGGGGGUUGGAAAGUUUCGGCGGUUGGGGAUGGACUCGCGGCUUAUGAGCUUGUUGGUGGGGUAGUGGCAUACCAAGGCUUUGACGGGUAGCCGGCCUGAGAGGGUGACCGGCCACAUUGGGACUGAGAUACGGCCCAGACUCCUACGGGAGGCAGCAGUGGAGAAGAUUGCACAAUGGGCGGAAGCCUGAUGCAGCAACGCCGCGUGCGGGAUGACGGCCUUCGGGUUGUAAUCCGCUUUCGCCUGUGACGAAGCGUGAGUGACGGUAAUGGGUAAAGAAGCACCGGCUAACUACGUG